GACAGGGAAGCCGGCGACCGAAGCCCCGGUGAACGGCGGCCGUAACUAUAACGGUCCUAAGGUAGCGAAAUUCCUUGUCGGGUAAGUUCCGACCCGCACGAAAGGCGUAACGAUCUGGGCACU
rnacentral:ncRNA from 1 species